rnacentral:antisense_RNA from 1 species
UGUCAUGGCGGCUGUGCGCGGGAGACCUUCGGGUCUGCCGGGCGCCUACACCCGGUUCGCUAACCUGUGUACAGCCGCCACCCUU